GCAAGUCGAGCGAAUCUGAUGGGAGCUUGCUCCCUGAUGAUUAGCGGCGGACGGGUGAGUAACACGUGGGUAACCUGCCUGUAAGACUGGGAUAACUCCGGGAAACCGGGGCUAAUACCGGAUAACUUUUUUCUUCGCAUGARGGAGAAUUGAAAGAUGGCYUCGGCUAUCACUUACAGAUGGACCCGCGGCGCAUUAGCUAGUUGGUGAGGUAACGGCUCACCAAGGCGACGAUGCGUAGCCGACUUGAGAGGGUGAUCGGCCACACUGGGACUGAGACACGGCCCAGACUCCUACGGGAGGCAGCAGUAGGGAAUCUUCCGCAAUGGACGAAAGUCUGACGGAGCAACGCCGCGUGAGUGAUGAAGGUUUUCGGAUCGUAAAACUCUGUUGUUAGGGAAGAACAAGUAUCGUUCGAAUAGGGCGGUACCUUGACGGUACCUAACCAGAAAGCCACGGCUAACUACGUGCCAGCAGCCGCGGUAAUACGUAGGUGGCAAGCGUUGUCCGGAAUUAUUGGGCGUAAAGCGCGCGCAGGCGGUUUCUUAAGUCUGAUGUGAAAUCUUGCGGCUCAACCGCAAGCGGCCAUUGGAAACUGGGAGACUUGAGUGCAGAAGAGGAGAGUGGAAUUCCACGUGUAGCGGUGAAAUGCGUAGAGAUGUGGAGGAACACCAGUGGCGAAGGCGACUCUCUGGUCUGUAACUGACGCUGAGGCGCGAAAGCGUGGGGAGCGAACAGGAUUAGAUACCCUGGUAGUCCACGCCGUAAACGAUGAGUGCUAAGUGUUAGAGGGUUUCCGCCCUUUAGUGCUGCAGCUAACGCAUUAAGCACUCCGCCUGGGGAGUACGGCCGCAAGGCUGAAACUCAAAGGAAUUGACGGGGGCCCGCACAAGCGGUGGARCAUGUGGUUUAAUUCGAAGCAA
rnacentral:rRNA from 1 species